rnacentral:rRNA from 1 species
AUGGAGAGCGUCGAGCACCACGAUGAAGCCGCCACCGGCCUCUCCCUUUCCCCUCCCCCUACGUCGGCGCCGCUCUCCCCGCCGAUAUCCCCCAACUCGGCGGCGCUGGCGAACGCGCGCUGGGUCCCUACCAGGGAGCAGAUCGCGGUGCUGGAGGGGCUGUACCGGCAGGGGAUGCGCACCCCCACCGCCGAGGAGAUACACCAGGUGACGGCGAGGCUGCAGGAGCACGGCCCCAUCGAGGGCAAGAACGUCUUCUACUGGUUCCAGAACCGGCUGCGCCAGAAGCAGAAGCAGCAGCAGCAGCAGAGAUCCGACUACUUCGCCAGGCAGCUCCGCCGUCCCCAGCCGCUGCCGAUGCUCCGCAGGACCCCCGGCCACCCCUUCUCCCCGGUCCAGCUGCAGGCGCCGCCGGCGCCGAACACUCCUGCAUGCAACAGAGAAGGGAUGUACAUGCAGCAGCCAUGUUACAUGACAGGGCCAGCGGCACAAGCCUCGGUGAAUGCAGCCUACUACUCGCAGAUGCAGCCGUCGCUAAUGCACCCAAAUUUAGAGACGAUGGCGCAUGGCAACAUCCAGGCACAGGCACAAGCCGCCAUGUACUUCCAGACAGCAACUUCAAAGAACUCCAACACUCAACAACCGCGUCCAUUCCAGUUCCCUUCGACCGACGGCAGCUACGAGGCUCCUGACGCCUACUCCCGUCGUCCCGUGCUUCUGAAUCUGUUCCCGCAAUACCCCACCUUUGGAAAUCGCGAGAGGACCCUCCACACUGAGAGCGCCGGCUCCCCAAGGCCAUCCACAUCAAGGUCGUUCUCUUUGGAGGCUGAGAGCUCCGAGAUCCCCAGCGGAGAUGGCUCGAGAUCGUUCUAUGACUUCUUUGGUGAAGGCCACUGA